UACGUAUGGGGCAAGCGUUAUCCGGAUUUACUGGGUGUAAAGGGAGCGUAGACGGCAUGUCAAGUCUGAAGUGAAAUGCAGGGGCUCAACUCCUGAACUGCUUUGGAAACUGAUAAGCUGGAGUACCGGAGGGGUGAGCGGAAUUCCUGGUGUAGCGGUGAAAUGCGUAGAUAUCAGGAGGAACACCGGUGGCGAAGGCGGCUCACUGGACGGUAACUGACGUUAAGGCUCGAAAGCGUGGGGAG
rnacentral:rRNA from 1 species